rnacentral:rRNA from 1 species
GUCCACCCGAUUCCCCUCCAAUUCACCCCGACCCACGUGGCUCAGAAGGCACGCCUAGGCCCUCGUGGAACUGGAUCCACGCCGAAGACCGCAACCUCCUCCUUGCGUGGCCGCCUCCUCGAUGCGCCGGCGCCGGCCACAGCCCCUCCUCGCGCUGCCGCCCGUAGCCUCCUCGCGACGCCGUCUGCAGCCUCCUCGCGAUGCCGUCUGCAGCCUCCUCGACGUGCUGCCACCGGCCGCAGCCUCUUGACGCGUAGCCGCCGCCUGAAAAGCUGGAUUUAACCCCGGCAGGUUAAGAAGUGGAACGAGCAGAGGGAGAAUGGGAGAUUUGCAGGGCCCCUCUAAAUCAUCCAUUUGAGAUUCUCCUCAGUUGCUUUUGUGUCAGUGUUAUUGCUGUCUUAUGUUUGAAUUUGUGCUCCUGUAAUGUACUCUUUUCCAGCAAUCGUUGGAGAACAUAUGUGAUGUUUUUCUGUUGCACAAAUAACUCGGCAUGCUUAUGUAUUUUGUUAUCCAGUAUACUUAAAUGUACGCUUUCCCGGGACUUGCGAAUGCACAAUUAUGUUGUUGUGAUGUGACUGCACAAUCA